UACGGAGGGUGCAAGCGUUAUCCGGAUUCACUGGGUUUAAAGGGUGCGUAGGUGGGUCUGUAAGUCAGUGGUGAAAUCUCCGAGCUUAACUUGGAAACUGCCAUUGAUACUAUAGGUCUUGAAUACUGUGGAGGUCAGCGGAAUAUGUCAUGUAGCGGUGAAAUGCUUAGAUAUGACAUAGAACACCGAUAGCGGAGGCAGCUUACUAAGCGAUCAUUGACACUGAGGCACGAAAGCGUGGGGAGCAAACAGG
rnacentral:rRNA from 1 species